rnacentral:lncRNA from 1 species
UCCAAAUUGGUUUAUGAGCAUAUGGUAUGUUCCAUGCAUACCGAGCAUCCUAUCUUGGAUCAAGAUUAGCACGAUUUCCAAAAUAGACCAAACUAAGCUUCCACUUGAGCCUCUUUACCUAGGAGUACCAUCAGGUGUGUCCAAAGUGGUUUCGUCACCUAUGGUGUAUAAGGCACAAAUCGUGCACCUAUCUUGCAUUGAAACUAACACUCAGUCCAAAUAGACCGUUGCGAGAUUCUAUAUGACACACGUCAUCUAGGAGUUCCAUCGGGUGAGCCCAAAUUGAUUUCCAAGCAUAUGGUAUCUUCCAUGGAAACCAUGCACCUAUCUUGUAUCAAUAUUAGCACUAUCUCCAAACAGACCAAACUGAGCUUCCAUUUGAGCCCCUUCACCUAAGAGUACCAUUAGGUGUGUCUAAAAUGGUUUCUUAGCCUAUGGUGCAUUAGGCGUAAACCAUGCACCUAUCUUGCACUAAACUAACACUAUCUCCA